rnacentral:tRNA from 1 species
UAUUUAAUUAGUUAAUCUUUGUCUUGAAACAUACGUGUUCACAUAACAGCACUCUUAGUUUAGUGGUAAAAUAGUUGCCUUCCAAGCAAUUGUCCCGGGUUCGAUUCCCGGAGGGUGCA